AUUGAACGCUGGCGGCAGGCCUAACACAUGCAAGUCGAGCGGAAACGAUCCUAGCUUGCUAGGAGGCGUCGAGCGGCGGACGGGUGAGUAACGCAUAGGAAUCUGCCCGGUAGUGGGGGAUAACCUGGGGAAACCCAGGCUAAUACCGCAUACGUCCUACGGGAGAAAGCAGGGGAUCUUCGGACCUUGCGCUAUCGGAUGAGCCUAUGUCGGAUUAGCUGGUUGGUGAGGUAAUGGCUCACCAAGGCGACGAUCCGUAGCUGGUCUGAGAGGAUGAUCAGCCACAUCGGGACUGAGACACGGCCCGAACUCCUACGGGAGGCAGCAGUGGGGAAUAUUGGACAAUGGGCGCAAGCCUGAUCCAGCCAUGCCGCGUGUGUGAAGAAGGCCCUCGGGUUGUAAAGCACUUUCAGUGGGGAAGAAAUCCUCGGGGCUAAUACCCUCGAGGGAGGACAUCACCCACAGAAGAAGCACCGGCUAACUCCGUGCCAGCAGCCGCGGUAAUACGGAGGGUGCGAGCGUUGUUCGGAAUUAUUGGGCGUAAAGCGCGUGCAGGCGGCCUGUUAAGUCUGAUGUGAAAGCCCGGGGCUCAACCCCGGAAGUGCAUUGGAUACUGGCAGGCUUGAGUACGGGAGAGGGAAGUGGAAUUCCGAGUGUAGGGGUGAAAUCCGUAGAUAUCGGGAGGAACACCGGUGGCUAGGCGGCUUCCUGGACCGAUACUGACUUCUGACACG
rnacentral:rRNA from 1 species